rnacentral:rRNA from 1 species
GACGAACGCUGGCGGCACGCCUAACACAUGCAAGUCGAACGGCCUUACAAGAGCUGGCUUUUUUAAGUUAGUGGCGGACGGGUGAGUAACACGUGAGCAACCUGCCUCUGAGAGGGGGAUAGCUUCUGGAAACGGAUGGUAAUACCCCAUAAAAUAUAAAUAUCGCAUGAUAGAUAUAUCAAAGAAAUUCGCUCAGAGAUGGGCUAGCGUCUGACUAGAUAGUUGGUGAGGUAACGGCGCACCAAGUCGACGAUCAAUAGCCUGACUGAGAGAUUGAACGGCCACAUUGAGACUGAGACACGGCGCAGACUCCUACGGGAGGGAGCAAUGGGGAAUAUUGCACUAUGGAGGGAACUCUGAUGCAGCGAUGGCGCGUGGAGGAAGUAGGUGUGCGGAUUGUAAACUCCUUUUAUCAGGGACGAUAAUGACGGUACCUGAAGAAAAAGCUCCGGCUAACUACGUG